ACGUAGGGGGCGAGCGUUAUCCGGAAUUAUUGGGCGUAAAGAGUGCGUAGGUGGUUUUUUAAGCGUGGGGUGAAAGGCAGCGGCUCAACCGUUGUGAGCCUUGCGAACUGGAAGACUUGAGUGCAGGAGAGGAAAGCGGAAUUCCUAGUGUAGCGGUGAAAUGCGUAGAUAUUAGGAGGAACACCAGUGGCGAAGGCGGCUUUCUGGACUGUAACUGACACUGAGGCACGAAAGCGUGGGGAGCAAACAG
rnacentral:rRNA from 1 species